CCGUGACGAGCGCGGCGCACGCUAGCGCGCCGUCCAAGCGCUCGGCGCCUCUGACCCGGAGCGCGCCACCCCAACAGAGGGAUCACGAGACGGCCUGCCGCGCCUUGUCCCGUUGCUCUUGCUCCCUACGUUCUCCUGCGCCCCGAACGCCACUUUCGCGCGCGUCUGCACACGCCAUUUCCCAUCACUCAUCGUCGUCAUCCUCAGCGCUCUUCUGUCGCUCCCGUGCCCGUCGUUGUUCUUGGCGUGCGAGAUGGACGCGGGGAGCGCCGGCGACGGCGAGGCGGGGCGGCAGGAGGGGACGCCUCCCUCCGGCGCGCCGACGGGCCCCGCGGCGCCGUUCGGCAGGUCGUCGUCGUCGUCGGGUCUCGGCGCGAAGGGCGGCGCAGCACCCCAGAGCUUCGACGGCGCGCUCAGAGAGCUCAAGGAUCUGCAGUCGCAGUUGCACCAGGCGGCGGACUGCUGCGAGAAGGCGUUCCUCGCCACCGAGGAGAAGAGGCUAAUCCUGGACAGUACAAAGAGCUACAUCUGCAACGCGGUAGUGGCAGUGAUUGAUCAUCUGGGGACCGUUUCAUCCAAGCUUGAGCACCAGCUGGAGGACAAGACUGAGAUCAUGCAAACAGAGCAGAAGAUCAGCUUCCUGAAGCAGAGGCUCUUGACAUGCGAACAGUAUGCAAUUUCUCUCCAACUAUUGGCCGUUCGUGCGGACGCUGGCGCCGUUCAAUAUCAUCGCCGUUACCUUUCCCAAUCUACUGAAAGAAACAACCAGGAAAAUGUUGCCAAGUCAAGCAGAGAUGACCCAGAAGAACCCCUCAAGCUCAAUAGCACAGUGGCGCCAGGAGCUACUCGCACUCUGAAGCCAUAUGAUGCUGAAUCAACCAUCGGGAGGGAGCAUGCCGUGGCGGGUGCAGACGGUGGAAACCCAGCAUCCACAGCGAGGUCAUUUUCCUUCAGAGCAGAGGUAUUCCUAUAUUAUACCAUACUACAGAAAUAUGUGCUGUAGACACAUCUACACCAAGAAAUCAACACGACAUUGCCAAGUGAAAUUACAUAGGCAUGUGUAAUCGUGAUAAGAGGUAGGAACGCCAUGAGGAGGCGGCCUGUUUUUGCUCUGUUUUCUUCAUCCUGUGUGUCCAGAGCAUGAGAUCAUCAAUGAUUCUCUUAAAGGAUGUUCACGUUGCUGCAGGGGGUCAUCACAAGAAGAAGAAAGGCAGCCAUGGCAGCAACAUCAUGUCAUUUCUCAAAAGAAGCAAGCGACAUGCGUAACGGUGAAAAGAGCCAUAGUUUUUGCCAGCCAUCCGAAUGUCCAUUGUUCUGUAACAGGAAUGUAUACAUGUUUGAGUUCUGCUCCGGUGCACGCAUGUGCAGACGUGCAGUCAAUUGAAAUUCAGGGUCGAGCUGAAACAUUCAUUCCGCAUCGAGGAGAAGCACGCAUGUUCAUUUCA